rnacentral:misc_RNA from 1 species
AAGUCGUAACAAGGUUUCCGUAGGUGAACCUGCGGAAGGAUCAUUAUGAGUGUUUGAGGGAUAUGUUAGAUUGUGAAGAGGUGUGCGUGUGCAGGGGGAGAAUGAAUGGAUUGAUUACCGGGGUAAUUGAUUAUUGAUUUUUUACCCGGGGGCACACACACAAAAUAGCAAGAACGAUAGUAGUAGUAGUAGUAAUUUAGUGCUUUAACAGAGAGAGAGCACAACAACAAAAACAAAAAUACAACUUUUAACAAUGGAUCUCUAGGCUCUU